UCGCGGCUUAUCACCGGCAGUCCCCUUAGAGUGCCCAACUAAAUGAUGGCAACUAAGGGCGAGGGUUGCGCUCGUUGCGGGACUUAACCCAACAUCUCACGACACGAGCUGACGACGGCCAUGCAGCACCUGUCACCUAUCCAGCCGAACUGACUCCAGUCUUUCGAUAGGAUGCGAUAGGGAUGUCAAGCCCUGGUAAGGUUCUACGCGUAGCUUCGUAUUAAACCACAUGAUCCACUGCUUGUGCGGAGCCCCGUCAAUUCCUUUGAGUUUUAAGCUUGCGCUCGUACUCCCCAGGCGGCAUAUUUAUCGCGUUAGCUUUUCAGCACAGAGGGUCGAUACUCCAUACUAAUAAUAUGCAUCGUUUACGGCGUGGACUAC
rnacentral:misc_RNA from 1 species